UCGGACGUAUCAUAACACAGCAAUGUCUGUAUGUCUGUUUGUAGAUGGGACGUAUUAUGGUACAGCAAUGUCUGUAUGUCUGUCUAUAGAUGGGAUACAUUAUGGUAUAUCACUGUAGGUGGGACGUAUUAUGGUACAGCAAUGUCUGUAUGUCUGUUUGUAGAUGGGACGUAUUAUGGUAUAUCACUGUAGGUGGGACGUAUUAUGGUACAGCGAUGCAUGUAUAUCUGUCUUAAGAUGGGAUGCAUUGUCCACCAUCUGAAUGCUUUGUCAUGAUGUAUGAAAUGCCCUCUAAUUUCAGGAAUUUUAGGGUCCUAGGGGGCUGAAUUAAGGUUCCAUUCCCAUGCUAAAAAAGCAGCUCCCUGGUCCUCAUGAGAUGUUGACACCCUGCAGUAGGAGCAGUUCCUGCCGGUAUCUCUUAAAAGCAGACAGAGGUUUUCUUAGCAUCUGCUCCAUUUCUGGAGACAAACUUUACUCCCUGGUCCUCAUGAGAUGUUGACACUCUGCAGUAGGAGCAGUUCCUACCGGUAUCUCUUAAAAGCAGACAGAGGUUUUCUUAGCAUCUGAUUCAUUUUGGAGACAAACUUUUGUAUGGAGCUGGGUAGCAGUUACUUAAGAUGUCCAACUGAUUGACGAGGAUAAUUCCCUGAGACUCUAACAUUCUGUAGGACUUGGAUAGCUCUAUUGCGAUAGAAAAUGUCAGGACGGUGGAGAUUUAGAUAAGUGGUGUGAUGUUAUUGAUGGUCAACAGAAGACUGUGACCUUGAAUCUGAAGAUCUGUGAUGAAGACUGGACGUUUGGGGUCACUCUCUGUUACAGUACUACAAAUCUAACAGUGUCAAACUCAGCCACAAAGAGGUUGUCUCUGAUGUCCACACAUAAACCCCAUGGAAACAUUAAAUCACAGUGAAUGUAACGGAGGAACUGUCCGUCCUGAUCUAGGAUGUGGAUACGGUUAUUGUCCCAGUUUGCUGUCAGGAUGUGACUCUGGCUGUCUGUAGUGAUGCCGCGUGGAUUAAAUGAUUGCUUGGUAUUAGAGGGAUGACCAGUGUAUCUAAAUCGGAGUUUUCCUGACUGAUUGACCACCACUACUGCUCUAGCUCCAUUGUCAGCCACACAGAUAUCCAGGUUCUUGUUCUCACU